rnacentral:rRNA from 1 species
CCAGACUUGCCCUCCAAUUGUUCCUCGUUAAAGGAUUUAAAGUGUACUCAUUCCGAUUACCGGGCCUCGGAUGAGUCCGGUAUCGUUAUUUUUCGUCACUACCUCGGCCUUCGGCCAGUGGGUAAUUUGCGUGCCUGCUGCCUUCCGUAGAAGUGGUAGCCGUUUCUCAGGCUCCCUCUCCGGAAUCGAACCCUAAUUCCCCGUUACCCGUCAAAACCACUGUGGGCGUCUAUGCCACAGUCGACAGUUGAUAGGGCACACCUUGGAAGGACACGUCGCCGGAACGAGUCCGUGCGAUCAGCCCAAAGUGUGCCCUAUCAACUGUCGACUGUGGCAUAGACGCCCACAGUGGUUUUGACGGGUAACGGGGAAUUAGGGUUCGAUUCCGGAGAGGGAGCCUGAGAAACGGCUACCACUUCUACGGAAGGCAGCAGGCACGCAAAUUACCCACUGGCCGAAGGCCGAGGUAGUGACGAAAAAUAACGAUACCGGACUCAUCCGAGGCCCGGUAAUCGGAAUGAGUACACUUUAAAUCCUUUAACGAGGAACAAUUGGAGGGCAAGUCUGGUGCCAGCAGCCGCGGUAAUUCCAGCUCCAAUAGCGUAUAUUAAAGUUGUUGCGGUUAAAAAGCUCGUAGUUGGAUCUCGGCGGGCAGGGGGUGGUUCGCUCUUCAGCGCUACUGCCCCGCUUUGCCCGUGUGAUUGGCGGAGGUUUCGGGGUGCUCUUCGUUGAGUGACUCGGAGCGCCGUCAGGUUUACUUUGAAAAAAUUAGAGUGCUCAAAGCAGGCUUUUCACGCUUGAAUAUUCGUGCAUGGAAUAAUGGAAUAGGAACUCGUUUCUAUUUUGUUGGUUUUCGGAAAUCGAGUUAAUGAUUAACAGGGACAAUUGGGGGCAUUAGUAUUCAGACGACAGAGGUGAAAUUCUUGGACCGUCUGAAGACUGACUACUGCGAAAGCAUUUGCCAAGAGUGUUUUCAUUAAUCAAGAACGAAAGUUAGAGGUUCGAAGGCGAUCAGAUACCGCCCUAGUUCUAACCAUAAACGAUGCCAGCUAGCGAUCUGCCGAGUUUUUUUUGUAGGCUCCGCAGGAAGCUUUCGGGAAACCAAAGCUUUUGGGUUCCGGGGGAAGUAUGGUUGCAAAGCUGAAACUUAAAGGAAUUGACGGAAGGGCACCACCAGGAGUGGAGCCUGCGGCUUAAUUUGAC